UAGGGAAUCUUCGGCAAUGGGGGCAACCCUGACCGAGCAACGCCGCGUGAGUGAAGAAGGUUUUCGGAUCGUAAAGCUCUGUUGUAAGAGAAGAACGUGUGUGAGAGUGGAAAGUUCACACAGUGACGGUAACUUACCAGAAAGGGACGGCUAACUACGUGCCAGCAGCCGCGGUAAUACGUAGGUCCCGAGCGUUGUCCGGAUUUAUUGGGCGUAAAGCGAGCGCAGGCGGUUUAGUAAGUCUGAAGUUAAAGGCAGUGGCUUAACCAUUGUGCACUUUGGAAACUGUUAGACUUGAGUGCAGAAGGGGAGAGUGGAAUUCCAUGUGUAGCGGUGAAAUGCGUAGAUAUAUGGAGGAACACCGGUGGCGAAAGCGGCUCUCUGGUCUGUACCUGACGCUGAGGCUCGAAAGCGUGGGUAGCAAACAGG
rnacentral:rRNA from 1 species